rnacentral:SRP_RNA from 1 species
GCCAGGUGCAGUGGCGCGUGCCUGUGGUCCCAGCCACUUGGGAAGCUGAGGCUAGAGGAUGGCUUGAGCCGAGGAGUUCUGGGCUGUAGUGCGCUAUGCUAAUCAGGUGUCCGCACUAAGUUCAGCAUCAAUAUGGUGACCUCCUGGGAGCGGGGACCACCAGGUUGCCUAAGGAGGGGUGAACUGGCUCAGGUCGGAAACGGAGCAGGUCAAAACUCCCGUGCUGAUCAGUAGAGGGAUCGAGCCUGUGAAUAGCCACUGCACUCCAGCCUGGGCAACAUAGCAAGACUCAGUCUGU